UAUUAAGUGGCCGAGAAAAAGCAUUAGAUUUUUAAUCUAACCACGAUAUAUAAAAAUAUCCUUAAUAG
rnacentral:tRNA from 1 species